AGUGAACGCUGGCGGUAGGCCUAACACAUGCAAGUCGAACGGCAGCACAGUAAGAGCUUGCUCUUACGGGUGGCGAGUGGCGGACGGGUGAGGAAUACAUCGGAAUCUACUUUUUCGUGGGGAUAACGUAGGGAAACUUACGCUAAUACCGCAUACGACCUACGGGUGAAAGCAGGGGAUCUUCGGACCUUGCGCGAUUGAAUGAGCUGAUGUCGGAUUAGCUAGUUGGCGGGGUAAAGGCCCACCAAGGCGACGAUCCGUAGCUGGUCUGAGAGGAUGAUCAGCCACACUGGAACUGAGACACGGUCCAGACUCCUACGGGAGGCAGCAGUGGGGAAUAUUGGACAAUGGGCGCAAGCCUGAUCCAGCCAUACCGCGUGGGUGAAGAAGGCCUUCGGGUUGUAAAGCCCUUUUGUUGGGAAAGAAAAGCAGCAGGUUAAUACCCCGCUGUUCUGACGGUACCCAAAGAAUAAGCACCGGCUAACUUCGUG
rnacentral:rRNA from 1 species